UACGGGGGGGGCAAGCGGUUGUUCGGAAUUACUGGGCGUAAAGGGCUCGUAGGCGGCCAACUAAGUCAGACGUGAAAUCCCUCGGACUUAACCGGGGAACUGCGUCUGAUACUGGAUGGCUUGAGUUUGGGAGAGGGAUGGCGGAAUUCCAGGUGUAGCGGUGAAAUGCGUAGAUAUCUGGAGGAACACCGGUGGCGAAGGCGGCGAU
rnacentral:rRNA from 1 species